rfam:Asian citrus Psyllid, Diaphorina citri - Florida Strain, whole genome shotgun sequence.
AAAAAGGCCCUUUUCAGGGCCACCCAACCCACCUUUAAACCGGCCCU